GAUUGAUCCUAAUUCGUUUGACCUACAAAAAGAUAACCUGUGCAGAGGAGACAGUUUUUUGAGCACUUUUGUGUGUCACGUGUGUAAACCUGCCUAAUCAGUAAAUGUUUUAUAUAGACCUUAUUUCAUCUGUGAUCAAAUGUCGGUCGCUAAAUUAAACUGUGUCCAGUUUUUUUUUCUGUCUUUUGCACUCGAACAAGCUUUGUGCUACCAAACCCGAGCAAAGAUUGUUGCAGCACCAUUUUUUAAGACCUAAAUUGGGAGAUGAUCUUGUCAGUUGAUUACUGGAAUGUUCCGUUCAGUUACAGAGAUUUUCCAUUGCCCACACAGUGAAAGACAAACAUCCCCAAUUGUGUUUUGUAUUAUUCCCCUCAUUGUCAUACCUGAAAGCCAUCUUUAUCUGAGAGAGCAAGCCAAAGAACUCCAAUCCAUCUUUAUCUCAUAAGAACUUCAGUACAGCAGCAGGUCGACAUCCAGAGCUUGUUGAUUUGUAAGAUUCUGACCACGCUUGUAACCUGAAUUCAGUAGCGCAGUGGACCAAUCGAUCACAGGGAGUCCUUUUUUUCAUCCCGGCAAUUUUCCUCUGAGGAAAGGGGGAAUCAUGUGAGCUAACAGUGUGGAAAAUCAAUGCUCCGCUGGCAUAGAAUAACUUGGAGUCUGGCUGGCAGAGAGCACUGGUCUCCAUGAGGCCAGUUUGAGUGAUAAAGCCACCACACGUCCCUUCUCUCAUCCUGCAUGAUAUGCAGUCACCCCUGCAACCCUCUCAACAGUGGUGGAGGAUCAGGUCUUGUGAUGUUCCUGACCUAAUAUGGCCGGGUCUGGACUAUCAGCUGAGAAUCAGGUGCUUGCUAAAUAUUUAGGAGGAUGAAGACUUCCCGCUGGGCCGAGGCUCUCAUCAUAAGGCUCGGCUCAGGGCUUCUUUUCUGUGUCUUACAGUGGU